CCUAGAGUUGUAGGCUUUGCCUGCUAUCUCUUACCCAUGUCUUUUGAGUACCUUACGUUUCCUCGGUGGGUUCGCCCACCGAUUGGACAAACCUAAACCCUUUGCAGUUGAAAUCAGCGUCUGAAAAAACUUAAUAGUUA
rnacentral:misc_RNA from 1 species